AUUGAACGCUGGCGGCAUGCCUUACACAUGCAAGUCGAACGGUAACAGGCCGCAAGGUGCCGACGAGUGGCGAACGGGUGAGUAAUGCAUCGGAACGUGCCCAGUCGUGGGGGAUAACGCAGCGAAAGCUGCGCUAAUACCGCAUACGAUCUAUGGAUGAAAGCGGGGGACCGUAAGGCCUCGCGCGAUUGGAGCGGCCGAUGUCAGAUUAGGUAGUUGGUGGGGUAAAGGCUCACCAAGCCGACGAUCUGUAGCUGGUCUGAGAGGACGAGCAGCCACACUGGGACUGAGACACGGCCCAGACUCCUACGGGAGGCAGCAGUGGGGAAUUUUGGACAAUGGGCGCAAGCCUGAUCCAGCAAUGCCGCGUGCAGGAAGAAGGCCUUCGGGUUGUAAACUGCUUUUGUACGGAACGAAAAGGCUCUGGUUAAUACCCGGGGCUCAUGACGGUACCGUAAGAAUAAGCACCGGCUAACUACGUGCCAGCCGCCGCCGUAAGAC
rnacentral:rRNA from 1 species